CCCUUAGAUGUUCUGGGCCGCACGCGCGCUACACUGACGAAGUCAGCGAGCAUGUCCUACGCCGACAGGUGCGGGGAAUCUUGUCAAACUUCGUCGUGAUGGGGAUUGAUUUUUGAAAUUCUUGAUCAUAAACGAGGAAUUCCUAGUAAGCGCAAGUCAGCAGCUUGCGUUGAUUACGUCCCUGCCCUUUGUACACACCGCCCGUCGCUACUACCGAUUGAAUGGUUUAGUGAGAUCUUCGGAUUGGCGCCACUGCAGCUCGGCAAUGGGCUUGGUGGAUGCCGAAAAGUUGAUCAAACUUGAUCAUUUAGAGGAAGUAAAAGUCGUAACA
rnacentral:rRNA from 1 species